GCUCCGGUAUUACCUGCCUGCCUGCCGCAUUGAGAGCGAGCAGCACAACUCUGCUCUGCUGGUGAACCCAAGAGCACGCAGACACACAGUCUGAAGGAAGAGCCUGUGUCAGAUCCCAGCCCAGCCUCUGACAAUCACAUCCUCCCGUCAGCUUCAUCAUCUCAGAAUGAGCUCUCCGCGGCCAGGAUAUUACAGAGCACAUGCACCAAUGAGGCGGUGCCUGCUUCCUGCUGUGAAGCGGGAUGAGCAGACCUUGCGACUCCAUGGUCUCCAGGACCCAGUGCACAUCCUCUGCUGACGUGGCAGGUCGCUGCUCCCUUGCUGCCACGUCUUCUUCAUGUCCCAAGGCCUGUCCUAACAGAGGCCAAAGGGGUUGGUCUUUUCUGAAAACUCACCUCUGCCCCUUCUUCUGUAGCCACACUAGAGGCUGCUCCGUGGGCCAUACAAAGGUGACUCUGGCCGUAAAGAGCAGAAAGUACAAGCCUACCUGUGGGCUGGCUUCCCCAGCUUUUCUGUGUAAGCGUGGCCCUUUGCAAGGCAGACUUGGCCCUGGGAUGUGA
rnacentral:lncRNA from 1 species